rnacentral:rRNA from 1 species
GACGAACGCUGGCGGCAUGCCUAAUACAUGCAAGUCGAGCGAACAGAUGAAGUGCCUGCGCUUCUGACGUUAGCGGCGAACGGGUGAGUAACACGUAAGGAAUCUACCUAUAAGCGGGGGAUAACAUUCGGAAACGGGUGCUAAUACCGCAUAAUAUCUUCUUCCGCAUGGAAGAAGAUUGAAAGACGGCUCUGCUGUCACUUAUAGAUGACCUUGCGGUGCAUUAGUUAGUUGGUGGGGUAAUGGCCUACCAAGACGAUGAUGCAUAGCCGACGUGAGAGGGUGAUCGGCCACAUGGGGACUGAGACACGGCCCAAACUCCUACGGGAGGCAGCAGUAGGGAAUCUUCCGCAAUGGGCGAAAGCCUGGCGGAGCAAUGCCGCGUGAGUGAAGAAGGCCUUCGGGUCGUAAAACUCUGUUAUAAGAGAAGAACAAAUUGUAGAGUAACUGCUACAGUCUUGACGGUAUCUUAUCAGAAAGCCACGGCUAACUACGUGCCAGCCGCCGCGGUAA